AAAUUGAAGAGUUUGAUCAUGGCUCAGAUUGAACGCUGGCGGCAGGCCUAACACAUGCAAGUCGAGCGGUAGCACAGAGAGCUUGCUCUCGGGUGACGAGCGGCGGACGGGUGAGUAAUGUCUGGGAAACUGCCUGAUGGAGGGGGAUAACUACUGGAAACGGUAGCUAAUACCGCAUAAUGUCGCAAGACCAAAGUGGGGGACCUUCGGGCCUCAUGCCAUCAGAUGUGCCCAGAUGGGAUUAGCUAGUAGGUGGGGUAACGGCUCACCUAGGCGACGAUCCCUAGCUGGUCUGAGAGGAUGACCAGCCACACUGGAACUGAGACACGGUCCAGACUCCUACGGGAGGCAGCAGUGGGGAAUAUUGCACAAUGGGCGCAAGCCUGAUGCAGCCAUGCCGCGUGUGUGAAGAAGGCCUUCGGGUUGUAAAGCACUUUCAGCGGGGAGGAAGGCGAUAAGGUUAAUAACCUCAUCGAUUGACGUUACCCGCAGAAGAAGCACCGGCUAACUCCGUGCCAGCAGCCGCGGUAAUACGGAGGGUGCAAGCGUU
rnacentral:rRNA from 1 species